AGAUGGGCAUUUUGGCCGAGGCACAGUAAAGGUCGGGCAAAUCAUCAGUUCGCGGAUGACAUCUCCCUGGUACUGGUAGGUAUAGCUAGCUGAAUCCCUUGGCCGCGAAUUGACAGCACCAACCUCCACUCCAAGCCCCAAAGCGAAUUGAUAUUACCAACCUCCACUCCAAGCUCCACCGCCGGGAGGAAGAACCCUAGCCGCCCUUCAAGGUCCCUGUUCCCCACGCCGCCUCUGGACGGACCUGCGAAUAAAACUGUGAAUGUUCGCUUACACCUGAUGCCCUCCUACGCACAUAAUGAGGAGUAACUAUUUUUCUACUCUUGAGACUGAAGGUUUAUAACCACUAUUUGAGUGGACUUUUAGUCUGGAGUAGGGGGUAGCUGCACUUGUUUGUAUCCUGAGACAGCAAGUUUGCAGAUAGAACCUUGAACUAGCUCCUCUGUCACCUGUAUCAACUCGAGUGUCCUUGGAGAAGCUCCUGCAAGCAACAUUACCAAUUUGCUUGGAUCCUUUCUCAUGGGAAAUAUUGUCAACACUGUUAGAAGAUUAGUGAAUGUGAUUUCUGAGGGCUUAUCUAGUACAGUAUCACCUAAAGAGAACUGUUCUACAGACGCUGUGGUUGCUAAGGGUUUGGAACGUGGUCCAGCCAGGGAUACACAUAAGAGCAAAGAGUUGAGACCACACAGUGUUCCUUCUGAAAAUAAUUUGUUUCACUGCGACGCUUACGAGAAAUUGAUCAACGGUGAGCUUAAUUUAGGUUGUAGAAGCAGUCCUGAGGCUUCAGAGGACUAUAAAAUGAUACCAAAUGCAGAUAGAGCAGUGUCUGGUCCUUUGGAUGCGAGAGGUUGUGAAAGUACCCCUAAAGCUUUGUUAAGGAGACAAGCUGAGCGGCAAAUAACUAACGAGAAAGCAUCAAUUCAGGCGAUGGUUCCAACUGGAACUUCAGCCUCUCCAGAUGUGAAAGAUCCUAAAACGGUGCUAUCUCCGCUUACCCGCAGUCGCAGUAAGGCUAUGGCUGUUUCCACACCUGAACAUCUCAAACUGAGAAACGCCAGAUCAGGUCAACUAGUAGUUCCACGGUUGGAUUCAGGAAGCCAAAAAAUUAUCUAUGACGUGGCAGAAGUACCUAUCACCCCAUUGGUGGAGCAAAGUUCUGCAGGUAAAGCGUUGCCGAGUACACCAUCACAAAUGAUCAAAACUCCAAUUCCAUAUGGACGAUCUCCACUUCCUCGUAAUAAGGAUAAGGUGUUAUCUGUUGCCACACCCGAAACUCCCAAACUGAGAAGCUCUAGAUCAGGAAAGGGACAUUCUUUUCAGGUCGACUGAUAGUUCCACGUUUGGAUCCAGGAACACAAAAUAUUAUCUAUGACGCGGUUAGUAACCGCAUAACCAUGUCCAUAGAUGUUUGUUUUGGUUUUAUGCAUCUGGGUACAAUUCGGAACCACCUGCUAAGAGGAGGUCUCGGUGUUCAUCCUCCGACCAUGGCAGGUUGCUGCUAUUCUGAUAGGAGAUGUCCUUGAGAUGGUUCAAGGGUUUGUGGUAAACUAUGGAGAUUAUUUUACCCUUCCACAAGAACCAUGAAGCAAAACGUCUGACUUAACAUGUGACUGGUUCAGAUGGAGGGACUCGCCAUCAAAGUUCUCGCGCUGAGCAUUCCCCUGUUGCAAUUACUUGUUGAAUGGAAGAAUGUGGGAAGUAACUUUGAAGAACUUGAAUAAUCUUGGAAGAAUGUGGGAAGUAACUUUGAAGAACUUGAAUGGAAGUGAUCUUUCAUGUUGUUUUUACUAUUACUAUAGUAACUACUCCCUCCGUUCACUAUUAUAAGUUUUUUUUUUGAUCCGGAUGUAUAUAGACGCAUUUUAGUAUGUUUGUUCACUCAUUUCAGUUUGUAUGUAGUCCAUAUCAAAAUAUGCAAAACAUCUUAUAUUUGUGAAUGGAGGGAGUAGAUAAUAUCCCACACCUUGCUGCAGGACUUGAUAGCAAUAUAUAAUCAAUGAGAUUUGGUUACAUGUAACAUGGAUGUUUGGAUUAAUUAUAUUUGAAUUGUGACUGAAAAUA